UGAUUUUGCCAUUUCUAGGCUUUAAAAUGCUUACUUUAGGCAAGUGGUCUAGUGGUCUUGUGAAGCUGCGCAUCGUGGCGAGGGAUCACGGUAUGAUAACCUGGAGGUUACACCUGACUACUAAUGUGAGAGGAAGUAAGCUACUUAAAAUAAAAAAAAAAAUUUAAAAAGCAUAAUUCAACACGCAUCCAUUCACUUCUGUUAUCGCCCUCCCCCCCCAUGUGGCUGAGCAAACACACUUGAUGAGUGUAUGGAUCUUUCCCAGCCAGUUCAAGCCCGGGGGGCGGGGGGCUGACUUCCAUCCAAGGCCCCCAGUGGGAGCCAAUCAGCAGGUGUGACAUGUGACUGCCACCAUAGGAACUGACCAAUCACUCUCCCAGCAGGAGGUCCAAAAAACAACCAGCAGGCCUUUUGUUGGCCGUGGGUGCUUGAUCUCUUCAAGGCCGUGGCACACAAUGCAUGGAGCUGGAGUUCUCCUCUGCAACCGAAAAGCCAGAUCCCUGAUGCUUGCAGUUUAAUUGCGUGAAGCAGCUGGGAAGUCUGGCCAGAGAAAUCCAUCAUCUCAGUAAACAGAACCAGAGGGAGCGUGGUACCAGAUAGCGUGAAUCCACUGGCGGGGGAGGGACGGCCUCGUUAAAUCCACGUCAGACCAGACGCUUGGACAG